GUGCCAGCAGCCGCGGUAAGACAGAGGUGCCAAGCGUUAGGCGGAAUCACUGGGCUUAAAGCGUGUGUAGGCGGGACGUUAAGUGCCUUGUGAAAUCCCCCGGCUCAACCGGGGAACUGCUGGGCAUACUGGCGUCCUUGGGCCAAUCAGGGGUCGUCGGAACAAACGGUGGAGCGGUGAAAUGCGUAGAUAUCGUUUGGAACGCCGAAGGCGAAAGCAGACGACUGGGAUUGUGCCGACGCUGAGACACGAAAGCCAGGGGAGCAAACGGGAUUAGAUACCCCCGUAGUCC
rnacentral:rRNA from 1 species